GCCUUCGUGGAUCAUGGUGGUCGCCUCGAUUCGUUACCUGCGGAUAGUGUCAAUAUAACGAGGAAGCGGAGGUUCGAAUCCUUCCGGAGGCA